GCUCUCUCUCUGUCUCUCCCUGUCUCUGCCAGGCAUUCAGCUCUCUCCCUGUCUCUCCCUGUCUCUGUCAGUCAUUCAUCUCUCUCCCUGUCUCUGUCAGGCAUUCAGCUUUCUCCCUGUCUCUCAAAAUGACCUGCAUGAACAUGGUUCCGUUGUUUAAACCCAGUACAGGACAAGAGAGCUUUGUUAAUUUACACUCAAAAUAUUAUCUUUUGACAAGAAAGACACUCAUAAUCAUGUUUUUUUUAUUAGCUAAAUCAAUUUCUUGCAUCCCAAAUUCUAGUUGUUUUUGUUCCUCAGGUUAAAUGAAAGCUUUUGGUUUUCAAAUGCUUUAGAUUCUACCGCUAAGACAUUUCAAACAGCAAUAAUGAUCUCAUCCACCUGCAGGUUCUGCUUAAAGAACGACUUCUGUCUCACAUCUGAAAUCACAUUUCAUAGUUGGAGUUAAGGUUUUUAAUCUGCUUUUUAACAGGCAUUUUGCUCUGAAUAGCUAUUAUUUCAGUUAUCAUUUUUGUUAUUUUAAUAGUUGCUUGUAAAUGUCCUUGUACAUACUGCAUAUUUUGUAAAGAAAGUAAGAAUGCGGUUUAAUUCUGUUACGAAUAAAAGGAGUUUGUUGUUCUGAGAUGCAUCUCUUAAAUCUAAAAUAUGUACAAAUUUAAUUAGUCUUUCAAAUGAAUUCAAUUAUAACUGCUAUUAGUCAAUACAUCACCUGGUGAGAAAUGUGAUUUUUCUCCAUUUUUGUUUUUGUUUCUAGUGUCAGAGUCAAAACAGAAAUCCCUAUUGAAUAACCCGCUCAGCAUUCCAAAGGGAAAUGAACUGAGUGUUGGUAAGGUUGGAGGGCCGGGAAAGGGAAAUGAACUGAGUGUUGGUAAGGAUGGAGGGCCGGGAAAGGGAAAUGAACUGAGUGUUGGUAAGGAUGGAGGGCCGGGAAAGGGAAAUGAACUGAGUGUUGGUAAGGAUGGAGGGCCGGGAAAGGGAAAUGAACUGAGUGUUGGUAAGGAUGGAGGGCCGGGAAAGGGAAAUGAACUGAGUGUUGGUAAGGAUGGAGGGGCGUGGCAGGAAAGAGAAUACGCCCCCCUCUAACACAAUUCUAUUUGUUUUUAUUUGUGUGAAGUAAUAAAAAUGUGUUGACUCAA